rnacentral:rRNA from 1 species
AGAGUUUGAUCAUGGCUCAGGAUGAACGCUAGCUACAGGCUUAACACAUGCAAGUCGAGGGGAAACGACAUCGAAAGCUUGCUUUUGAUGGGCGUCGACCGGCGCACGGGUGAGUAACGCGUAUCCAACCUGCCCAUCACUUGGGGAUAACCUUGCGAAAGUAAGACUAAUACCCAAUGACGUCUCUAGAAGACAUCUGAAAGAGAUUAAAGAUUUAUCGGUGAUGGAUGGGGAUGCGUCUGAUUAGCUUGGUUGGCGGGGUAACGGCCACCAAGGCGACGAUCAGUAGGGGUUCUGAGAGGAACGGUCCCCCANAUUGGAACUGGAGACACGGUCCAAACUCCGUACGGGAGCA